rnacentral:hammerhead_ribozyme from 1 species
AUCUAGAUGGCGAGUGCCAAAUAGGACGAAACGUGCUUCUUGGAU